GAUGAACGCUAGCGGCAGGCCUAACACAUGCAAGUCGAGGGGUAGAAGGAGCUUGCUCCUUUGAGACCGGCGCACGGGUGCGUAACGCGUAUGCAAUCUACCUUGUACAGGGGAAUAGCCCAGAGAAAUUUGGAUUAAUGCCCCAUAGUAUAUAACCUUCGCAUGUUGGUUAUAUUAAAGUUCCAACGGUACAAGAUGAGCUUGCGUCCCAUUAGUUAGUUGGUAAGGUAACGGCUUACCAAGACGAUGAUGGGUAGGGGUCCUGAGAGGGAGAUCCCCCACACUGGUACUGAGACACGGACCAGACUCCUACGGGAGGCAGCAGUGAGGAAUAUUGGUCAAUGGUCGCAAGACUGAACCAGCCAUGCCGCGUGCAGGAAGACGGUCCUAUGGAUUGUAAACUGCUUUUAUACAGGAAGAAACCCUCCCACGUGUGGGAGCUUGACGGUACUGUAGGAAUAAGGAUCGGCUAACUCCGUG
rnacentral:rRNA from 1 species